AAUAAGGUGUCUGAAUUUAUAGGUCGUAAAUUGUAAAUUUAUGUAUGGCUUUAAGCCCCUUAUUA
rnacentral:tRNA from 1 species